GGCUGGCUAGCUCAGUUGGUAGAGCACUGGAACGGUAAUCCGGAGGUUGCAGGUUCAAACCCUGCACCAGUCA
rnacentral:tRNA from 1 species